UACGUAGGGGGCUAGCGUUGUCCGGAUUUAUUGGGCGUAAAGAGCGUGUAGGCGGCCUGGUAGGUCUGCUGUGAAAACUCGAGGCUCAACCUCGAGAUGUCGGCGGAAACCAUCUGGCUAGAGUCCGGAAGAGGAGAGUGGAAUUCCUGGUGUAGCGGUGAAAUGCGCAGAUAUCAGGAGGAACACCGGUGGCGAAGGCGGAUCUCUGGGCCGAUACUGACGCUGAGGAGCGAAAGCGUGGGGAGCGAACAGG
rnacentral:rRNA from 1 species